CCGGGCCUACGGGAGGCAGCAGUGGGGAAUAUUGCACAAUGGGGGAAACCCUGAUGCAGCGACGCCGCGUGAGUGAAGAAGUAUUUCGGUAUGUAAAGCUCUAUCAGCAGGGAAGAAAAUGACGGUACCUGACUAAGAAGCCCCGGCUAACUACGUGCCAGCAGCCGCGGUAAUACGUAGGGGGCAAGCGUUAUCCGGAUUUACUGGGUGUAAAGGGAGCGUAGACGGCAGCGCAAGUCUGGAGUGAAAUGCCGGGGCUCAACCCCG
rnacentral:rRNA from 1 species